rnacentral:rRNA from 1 species
AAAACAUAGCUAUAUGGAAAGAUAUCUAGUGAAGUCUGCCCAAUGUUUUUAUAAAUGGCCGCAGUACUUUGACUGUGCUAAGGUAGCAAAAUAAUUAGGCUUUUAAUUGGAGUCGGGUAUGAAAGACCUAAUGAUUAGUGGCUGUUUCUAAGGAUUUUUAUCUAAUUUUCUUAAAGGGUGAAAAUUCCCUUAUGCACUUAUAUUAGACGAGAAGACCCUAAGAAUUUUUAGGAAACCAAUUUGCUUUGGGAAUUUUUUGUUGGGGCGACAAUGUAGCAAAUAAAUUUUAACCUACAGUUAACUACAGGUCUUAUUUAAUCAAGAAGAUAAUUACCUUAGGGAUAACAGCAUAAUUUUUCUAAAAGUUUGUGACCUCGAUGUUGGACUAGGGACUAUUAAAGUUAACCAUUUUAAUAGAAGUUUCUGUUCGAAACUUUUAUACCUACGUGAUCU